rnacentral:rRNA from 1 species
AACGAACGCUGGCGGCAUGCCUAACACAUGCAAGUCGAACGAGACCUUCGGGUCUAGUGGCGCACGGGUGCGUAACGCGUGGGAACCUGCCUUUAGGUUCGGAAUAACUCAGAGAAAUUUGAGCUAAUACCGGAUGAUGUCUUCGGACCAAAGAUUUAUCGCCUUUAGAUGGGCCCGCGUUGGAUUAGCUAGUUGGUGGGGUAAAGGCCUACCAAGGCGACGAUCCAUAGCUGGUCCGAGAGGAUGAUCAGCCACACUGGGACUGAGACACGGCCCAGACUCCUACGGGAGGCAGCAGUGGGGAAUAUUGGACAAUGGGCGAAAGCCUGAUCCAGCAAUGCCGCGUGAGUGAUGAAGGCCUUAGGGUUGUAAAGCUCUUUUACCCGAGAUGAUAAUGACAGUAGCGGGAGAAUAAGCUCCGGCUAACUCCGUG